UCUUUCUUCUCUUUUCCUAAGAAGACCUCAUAGUCCAGAGAACUAAACUUGUCUUACUGGUUUGGCCCUCAGGAAAAGAUGAGGCAACAUCAAAAUAACUACGCGAAGAGUCCACAAACAUCACUGGAUGAGCAAUGCAAAAGCAGGGACAGGCAUGGCGAACACGGAUGCCUUGGUAAAGCCUCCCAAACAGUCCUUGCUAUCUUAAAGCAGCUGGAAGUGCCAUUACAUAGUCUGAGAUUUAUCGAGAAUCAUGAUUGCAGCAUAUCCCACUUGUCCAACUGAGUGCUGAGUGAAACCGA
rnacentral:lncRNA from 1 species